rnacentral:rRNA from 1 species
UACGGGGGGGGUAAGCGUUGUUCGGAAUUACUGGGCGUAAAGGGCUCGUAGGCGGCCAACUAAGUCAUACGUGAAAUCCCUCAGCUUAACUGGGGAACUGCGUGUGAUACUGGAUGGCUUGGAUUUGGGAGAGGGAUGCGGAAUUCCAGGUGUAGCGGUGAAAUGCGUAGAUAUCAGGAGGAACACCGGUGGUGUAGACGGCUCUCUGGACCGUAACUGACGCUGAGACACGAAAGCGUGGGUAGCAAACAGG